rnacentral:rRNA from 1 species
UACGGAGGGUGCGAGCGUUGUCCGGAAUCACUGGGCGUAAAGGGCGCGUAGGCGGCAUGCCAAGCGUGUGGUGAAAGCCCGGGGCUCAACCCCGGGUCGGCCGUGCGGACUGGCGUGCUUGAGCACUGUAGGGGCGGGUGGAAUUCCGGGUGUAGCGGUGGAAUGCGUAGAGAUCCGGAAGAACACCAGUGGCGAAGGCGGCUCACUGGCCCGGUACUGACGCUGAGGUGCGAAAGCGUGGGGAGCAAACAGG